rnacentral:rRNA from 1 species
UACAGAGGGGGCGAGCGUUAUUCGGAAUUAUUGGGCGUAAAGGGCGCGUAGGCGGCUUUUCAAGUGGCGGGUGAAAUCCCUCGGCUUAACCGAGGAACUGCCUGCCAGACUGGAUUGCUUGAGUCCGGGAGAGGUGAGUGGAAUUCACAGUGUAGCGGUGAAAUGCGUAGAUAUUGGGAGGAACACCAGUGGCGAAGGCGGCUCACUGGACCGGAACUGACGCUGAGGAGCGAAAGCGUGGGGAGCGAACAGG